rnacentral:rRNA from 1 species
GAUGAACGCUGGCGGCGUGCCUAAUACAUGCAAGUCGAGCGAACGGACGAGAAGCUUGCUUCUCUGAUGUUAGCGGCGGACGGGUGAGUAACACGUGGAUAACCUACCUAUAAGACUGGGAUAACUUCGGGAAACCGGAGCUAAUACCGGAUGAUAUUUUGAACCGCAUGGUUCAAAAGUGAAAGACGGUCUUGCUGUCACUUAUAGAUGGAUCCGCGCUGCAUUAGCUAGUUGGUAAGGUAACGGCUUACCAAGGCAACGAUGCAUAGCCGACCUGAGAGGAUGAUCGGCCACACUGGAACUGAAACACGGUCCAGACUCCUACGGGAGGCAGCAGUAGGGAAUCUUCCGCAAUGGGCGAAAACCUUACGGAACAACGCCGCGUUAGUGAUGAAAGUCUUCGGAUCGUAAAACUCUGUUAUUAGGUAAAAACAUAUUUGUAAGUAACUGUGCACAUCUUGACGGUACCUAAUCAGAAAGCCACGGCUAACUACGUG